AGACGGUGCUGCUGUUCUUACCCAAAACAAAUGGACCACUACUCUCCGGCGAGAAGACGGUGGCGGAGUUCUUCCACCACCAACCACCACCGCGCGGUGUCGUCUGGAAUCGAGCUCAACAACAACAGAAGAGAAUUUAGAGCGGAAUGAUUGCAUCUCUAAUGAGAAGGUAUGUUGUCCAUCCCAACUGAAAAUACAUCGAUCUGGAUCUGGGAGCUGUCAGAUCUCGGGUUACCUUGUUGACAGUACAAUUUCUGUAUUGUAGCGAACUGGUUAACAGUUACUCCCUCUGUCCCAAAAUAUAAGAACGUUUUUAACACUACACUAGUGUCAAAAACGUUCUUAUAUUAUGAGACGGAGGGAGUAGUUUAGAACGGCCGAUUCGGCUGCCAGCACUUGAUGAAGUUGUAAAGAGCCAGGAGCUUGAUGACUCUCCAAGCGAAGAGACCCAGAUCGAUCUUGUGCGUGACGUUUCCGAAGAAGACGACUCUGUUGCAACUAGAUCUUCAGGAGGGUGGAUCAGAAGGCCGAGGCAUGGGGUCAUGCCAGAUGAAAGAAAGACUAAACCAGAUAGAGUUGCACCUCUGGAGCAGGCUUCGAGAGGGUCUUCUACCAGGAAAACAGAUGCAGUGGUUGCACCUUCGGUUGGUCUGGUUUUUGAUUCUUUGGGUGAAGCUUAUGAUUUCUACAACCUAUAUUCUUGGGAGCUAGGAAUUGGCAUCAGAUACGGGAAAAGCAGAACCAACGUCAGGGGAACAAAAUGCAUGCAAGACCUUCUCUGUGGUUAUUCUAUAAGUUUUUCUGACAGUAAUUUAUGUUCAUUUACCGAAGAGUUAUAGUGCAGCUAACUGUGAAUUUUAUAAUUAGGGGAAACCAAAGAAAACUAAUACCACUUCCUGCCGUUGUGAAUGCCCCUCCAUGUUACGCCUUCUAAGAACAGAAGAUCAAGGAUGGUUUAUCUGUGAGUAUAGGAAUGUGCACAAUCACGCUAUGCUAGCAAAUUGUGCAGAUAAGUUGCAUUUCCAGUCACAUCGUCAUAUUGACAAAUACACUAGAGAGCUUGUGUCUCAGCUUCGUGAGAAUAACAUAAAUCUAAGCAAAGUUUAAAGUAUAAUUGGCACGUUUUUUGGUAGAAUAGAGAAUGUACCUUUCACUAAAAGGUGCCUUAGGACGCUAUGUGGAAAAAUAAGCAAGGAACAGGCGGAUGACGAUGUUAGGAAAACUAUGGAUUUGUUUUCAGAUUUGAAAGAAAGAGACAGUGAGUUCCAGUAUAUAGUUCAAGUAGACACCGAGAGUAGGAUAAGAACAAUUAUGUGGACUAAUGGACGUAGCAAGCUCCAGUACCAUCAUUUUGGCCAUGUCGUUACAUUCGAUACAACAUAUAAGACCAACCUGUACGAUAUGCCUUUCGGAUUGUUUGUUGGAGUAAACAAUCACUUCCAUAGUGUGCUUUAUGCCGGUGUCUUGAUGCGUGAUGAGAAAGUAGAGAGCUUUGAAUGGGUUUUCAGCGGAUUUCUAAAGAUGAUGGGCGGGAAGAAACCAGUUACAAUUUUAACAGAUCAAGCUAGGGCUAUGGAGGUUGCGAUUAUGAAUGUAUUCCCUGGGACGACUCACCGAUGGUGCAACUGGCAUGUGUUAAAAAAAGCAAAGGAGUCACUAGGGAGCAAUUAUACAAAGAAGUCAGACUUCAGGACAGAGAUUCACCGUCUUUGUGACGAAAUGCUGACUAUAGAAGAAUUAGAAAAAGGGUGGUCCAAUUUAAUUGUGAAGUACGGGUUGGCGAGUAACACAUUCCUAGCUCAAGUUUACGAGGUUAGGGAGAAAUGGGCCAAACCAUAUUUCAGUGGGAAAUUCUGUGCAAAAAUGACAAGAACACAACGGAGUGAGAGUGCGAACCACAUGCUUAAAAACUAUGUGCCACCAGCAUGUCCAAUGAACGUUUUCGUUAAGCAGUAUGGCAAGCUACAGUAUGACAGAGAGCAGGAGGAAGGAUUUCAAGAGAAAAGGACAAGGCUGGUAUGUUUUCUAGAAUUAUACAAACAUAUUUUGUAUGCAACUUGAACUGGCACUUUUCACUUUAAACUGCAGGGGGGCUGUUAUAAAAUCUAAUCUCCCAAUUGAGUGUCACGCAAGCAAGAUAUAUACCAGAACAAUGUUUGAGAUGUUUGGAAGGGUUCUUUAUGUAGAUGGUUACUAUGAUGUUGAAGAGAUAGAACCAAGAAGGAAAUAUGCAGCCAUACACGGUAACCCUGAGCAGAGAGAUCCCUCUGGUUCAAGAAUAGGUAUGAGGUUGUUAUAUCUGAAGAUCAAACAAAGUACACUUGUGAGUGUGGAAGAUAUGAACACAUGGGAAUGAUUUGUUGUCAUAUACUUAAGGUAUUUUCUGACUUUUUUUUAAAUCGGACUAAUGAUUAUUAUACAUUUUAACUGAUGAUCUUUUCGUCUGUAAGUAAUGAUCAUACUAGAUGUUAAGAAAAUCCCGAAAGCACACAUAAUGAAGAGAUGGACAGUAGAUGCUCAUGAUGUUUUGCCUGAUCAUAUCAAGCAUUACCAGAGAGACAUGGGUCCACCGGAUGCAAUGACAUUCAGGCAUUCUGCGAUGUACAUAACUGCAUUGCAGAUUAAUUGUUCAUCUUGGGGACAGUAAUGUAGAGGCUUUCGAGUCCGUUAUGAGUGGGCUGUGUGAUUUGAAGCAGAGAGCAAUGUCAUUGAGCAUGGAAAAAAAAGGACUAAGCGUGGUUGAGAAGGCUAAGGCAUCUAGCAUGACCAACUCGGUUGGUUCUAGGGUUUCUUGCAAAACACUAAAAACAAAGCACCCAAGCGUUUCUAAAGAAACAAUUUCUAAAUCGUCUCAUAUCAAUCUUGUGGACCAGAGCUGCAAUGGUAAUGUUGAGGUCUCUUCAAGAGAGGUCAUGUUAGCACCGGAAAGGCAUAUGAAGAGGGGGUACCCAAGCACAUCGCGUGAAAAAGCGCCUUAUGAAGAUUCACAUUAGCGAACACGAUUAUGUAGUAUUUGUCGUGGUAAAGGACACAAGAGUACUACAUGUCCACAGAGGGGUGAUCUACCAGUGAAACCAAGGAAAGAGACACUUUGUAGCAAUUGCAAGGUUGCUGGACACAGGAAGAACAACUGCUCCAAGAAAAUGGCCAGUUUCAUGGAAGGGAUGAAUACAUUCCCCGGCAUGUCUUCCAUGGAUGGUGAAGACAAUGACUAGAUGUUUUUGUGAACAAGUGGUGAUUUUAUGUAUCAAUGUUUAAAAUGGAAGAGACAUCUAGAUUUAUGUAUGAACUGAGUUAUUUGUUGAAGCAAUCCUUUAUAUGCUAGCAAUAGGAAAGUUGGAAACAAUGUUGUUUUUUUGCAUAACACAAAAAGAAUUGUGCAACAACCAUUUUGACAACCAAUUAACGAUGAUAAUGCAUGCUACCCUGAAGAAAAAAAUGCAAGGCAAGCAUUAAUUAGGCCUGUGAGUGGUUAGAAUGCAGAAGUUAAUGUUAUUUGAAAUUUGAACUUCAUUCUUUGGAGCGGUGGUGGCACUCUGUAGUCUAUAUAAGUUCAAUGGUUUGCUUUGGGGAGGAAGCAAACAUCAGCAGUUGGGGGAGGAAGCUUGGAGGAGCCACGCAUGGAACAUCAGAAGGCAGAUACAACUGUAGAAGUUGUUCACAAUGUUAUGUUUAGUUGCGUUGGGGUUAUUAUGAUGAAUGAGAGCAGUGAGGACGAUCAUGUUGACGAUCUUUCGGAGUGUGUUGAAUCAAACUUUGUUAAAGAGGGAAAUCUACUACUGUGCUCUAACACGAGAGCAAUACUGUCGACGCCAGCAAAUCAACUAAACAGCGACAGAUUGAUGAUUGCUGGGGAGAACAUGAUCCAUUUACAGGCUCAAGCGGUGGAGAGAAAGAGAGCGAUAUUGAAGGUGGAUAGUGCAACAGAGGAGGGGUCUGGCUGCUGCUCAGUUGCAGUACAAGUCGAAGAGUUUGAAGAUGAAGAUGAGAUUGACAGCCAUAUGUGCAAGAGGCAGAGGAGUUAAUUAUUUUAGAACCCUGUUGUUAGUGUUUGAAACUUUCACUCGAAUCCAGUGUAAUAAAUCAAAUUAGCCAAAAAAUGUAAUGUGUUUCUGUC